rnacentral:rRNA from 1 species
AUGGAAGAGCGCCUGCACGUCGCCGUCGCCAAGGAGAUAGAGCGGGACCUGCGCGCCGACUCCCGGCGGGCCCGGGACAACAUCGAGGGCUGGUGGAGGAAGAUCAUUGAGGACGCUUUCCGCGUGGUGGACAACGAGGUGGCCGCUGGUGGCCGUGGUGGCAUCCAUGCUCCUGCGCGCGUUGCCUGCGGGGCUCUCGUCGUGCUGGUUCUCGAGGACUACUUAGUGCUCGCCAACCGCGGCGCUUCUAGGGCCGUGAUCUACCGCGGCCUUGAGGCUGUGCCGCUCACCCCCGAGCACACGGCUAUGCCACAAAAUGCAGGAGGUGAUGUGGUUGGAUCUACCAGCAGAGUUGAAGACGUUAUGCCUCCUCACGCGUUUUUUGGUAGCUCAAAGAUUAUGGCUACUGCCCCAGAACCAGAGGUCGUCGCGGUGAAGCGGAAGCCACGGGACAAGUUCCUGAUCCUGGCCACCCGCGGGCUCUGGGACGUCGUCACUCCAGGCGACGCGUGCACCUUCAUCGAGAAAAGAUUGAGCGCGUACGUACCGCGGAUCAUCAUGUCGUCGGACAAGAAGCCAACGAACAGCAACCGCUCUCCCUGUGCCAACAUACUCUGCCAAUGA